rnacentral:rRNA from 1 species
AUUGAACGCUGGCGGCAGGCCUAACACAUGCAAGUCGAACGAGUGGCGGACGGGUGAGUAAUGUCUGGGAAACUGCCUGAUGGAGGGGGAUAACUACUGGAAACGGUAGCUAAUACCGCAUACCAUCGGAUGUGCCCAGAUUGGAUUAACUAGUAGGUGGGGUAACGGAUCACCUAGGAGACGAUCCCUAGCUGGUCUGAGAGGAUGACCAGCCGCACUGUAAAUGUGACACUGUCCAGACUCCUACGGGAGGAAGCAGGGGAGAAUAUAGCACAAUGGGCGGAAGCCUGAUGCAGCCAUGCCGCGUGUAUGAAGAAGGCCUUCGGGUUGUAAAGUACUUUCAGCGGGGAGGCGUUACCCGCAGAAGAAGCACCGGCUAACUCCGUGCCAGCAGCCGCGGUAAUAG